rnacentral:rRNA from 1 species
AGUCGAGCGAGGUUACUGUUUUGGAUCCCUUCGGGGUGAAGAAGCUUUAACCUAGCGGCGGACGGGUGAGUAACGCGUGGGUAACCUACCCCAAAGUCCGGGAUAACAGCGGGAAACCGCUGCUAAUACCGGAUGCCUUUACCUUGGGGCAUCUUGAGGUAAAGAAAGGUAACGCUUUGGGAUGGGCCCGCGUCCCAUUAGCUAGUUGGUGAGGUAACGGCUCACCAAGGCGACGAUGGGUAGCCGGCCUGAGAGGGUGGACGGCCACACUGGGACUGAGACACGGCCCAGACUCCUACGGGAGGCAGCAGUAGGGAAUAUUGCGCAAUGGACGGAAGUCUGACGUAGCGACGCCGCGUGAGCGAUGAAGGUCUUCGGAUCGUAAAGCUCUGUCCUUGGGGAAGAAGGUCUUCGGACUUGACGGUACCCAAGAAGAAAGCCCCGGCUAACUACGUGCCAGCAGCCGCGGUAAUACGUAGGGGGCGAGCGUUGUCCGGAAUUACUGGGCGUAAAGGGUGCGUAGGCGGCCCUUUAAGUCGGAUGUGAAAGCCCGCGGCUUAACCGCGGAAUGGCAUUCGAAACUGGAGGGCUUGAGUGUCGGAGAGGGUAGUGGAAUUCCCAGUGUAGCGGUGAAAUGCGUA